rnacentral:rRNA from 1 species
GAUGAACGCUGGCGGCGUGCCUAAUACAUGCAAGUCGAGCGAACGGACGAGAAGCUUGCUUCUCUGAUGUUAGCGGCGGACGGGUGAGUAACACGUGGAUACCCUCCCUAUAAGACUGGGAUAACUUCGGGAAACCGUAGCUAAUACCGGAUAAUAUUUUGAACCGCAUGGUUCAAAAGUGAAAGACGGUCUUGCUGUCACUUAUAGAUGGAUCCGCGCUGCAUGAGCUAGUUGGUAAGGUAACGGCUUACCAAGGCAACGAUGCAUAGCCGACCUGAGAGGGGGGUCGGCCACACUGGAAGUGAGACACGGUCCAGACUCCUACGGGAGGCAGCAGUAGGGAAUCUUCCGCAAUGGGCGAAAGCCUGACGGAGCAACGCGGCGUGAGUGAUGAAGGUCUUCGGAUCGUAAAACUCUGUUAUUAGGGAAGAACAUAUGUGUAAGUAACUGUGCACGUCUUGACGGUACCUAAUCAGAAAGCCACGGCUAACUACGUG